rnacentral:rRNA from 1 species
UACGAGGGGCUAGCGUUGUUCGGAAUUACUGGGCGUAAAGCGCACGUAGGCGGGUUUGUAAGUAGGGGGUGAAAUCCCAGGGCUCAACCCUGGAACUGCCUUCUAAACUGCAAGCCUGGAGGUCAGGAGAGGCGAGUGGAAUACCGAGUGUAGAGGUGAAAUUCGUAGAUAUUCGGUGGAACACCAGUGGCGAAGGCGACUCGCUGGACUGAUACUGACGCUGAGGUGCGAAAGCGUGGGGAGCAAACAGG